rnacentral:rRNA from 1 species
CACCGCCCGUCACACCAUGGGAGUUUGUUGCACCAGAAGCAGGUAGCUUAACCGCAAGGGGGGCGCUUGCCACGGUGUGGCCGAUGACUGGGGUG